AUUGAACGCUGGCGGCAUGCCUUACACAUGCAAGUCGAACGGCAGCACGGGCUUCGGUCUGGUGGCGAGUGGCGAACGGGUGAGUAAUACAUCGGAACGUGCCCAGUAAUGGGGGAUAACGCAGCGAAAGUUGUGCUAAUACCGCAUACGCCCUGAGGGGGAAAGUGGGGGAUCGCAAGACCUCAUGUUAUUGGAGCGGCCGAUGGCUGAUUAGCUAGUUGGUGAGGUAUAGGCUCACCAAGGCGACGAUCUGUAGCUGGUCUGAGAGGAUGACCAGCCGCACUGGGACUGAGAAACGGCCCCGACUCCUACGGGAGGCAGCAGUGGGGAAGUUUGGACAAUGGGCGCAAGCCUGAUCCAGCAAUGCCGCGUGCAGGAAGAAGGCCUUCGGGUUGUAAACUGCUUUUGUACGGAACGAAACGGUCUUGGUUAAUACCCUGGGCUAAUGACGGUACCGUAAGAAUAAGCACCGGCUAACUACGUGCCAGCCGCCGCAGUAA
rnacentral:rRNA from 1 species